GAGGCAAANNNNNNNNNNNNNNNNNNNUGAGCUUCAAAGGAGGGAGGAGAAGAGCUGUACAAAGUAGUUGCCAAGGUAACAUCUUGCUGAUCAGAAAGGGACCGCAGUUGGGUUUUAUGUAGACGCAGUGGAAGAAUGAAACAUAAUCUUUCUCUGUAUUCUUUCUGUUUAAGAUCAGUGAGGAAAUGGAUGUGGAUGCAGUGCAGCUGCCUGAGAUUUGCAGGAAGCAAUUCUCCCAUUUGAAGAGACCCCAGUGAGACCUGAUCACCAACUAGCAACACAGAAACUACUCUCAGCAGAGUCACUCCUUAAGGACUCAUGAGUUUAAAGAUGCAUUUCAAUAGGCUAUCCUUCUCACUGGGAGGGAUAAUACAUUCCUAGGAAAAAGAAACAUACUAUGAAAACGACUUGGGUGAGGAAAUCCUAUCAAGCACUUUAAUAUGGAGAAAAAGAAAAAUAAAAAAGGUGAGAUCUUGCUCAGGAGUUUUGGAAAGGUCAAUAGGAUUAAUAUACCCUUUGAACAUAGUUAUUUUAGCUGAAAUAAGGAAAUGGCAUGGGGGAAACUCCACAGACUACUCAUGUAAUAGAAGUGUAAUGUAUUUACCCUUUUUCUCUUCACCCUU
rnacentral:lncRNA from 1 species